rnacentral:rRNA from 1 species
ACUCAAAGGAAUUGACGGGGGCCCGCACAAGCAGCGGAGCGUGUGGUUUAAUUCGACGCAACACGAAGAACCUUACCUAGAUUUGACAUGCACCUGCAUGACCGUGAAAGUGGUCAGCCUUCGAGGGUGGUGCACCGGUGCUGCAUGGCUGUCGUCAGCUCGUGUCGUGAGAUGUUGGGUUAAGUCCCGCAACGAGCGCAACCCUUGCCUGGUGUUACGAGUGUCACCAGGGACUGCCGUGGUGUUACCACGGAGGAAGGCGGGGAUGACGUCAAGUCCGCAUGGCCCGUACGUCUAGGGCUACACACACGCUACAAUGAUCGGAGUAAUGUGCUGCCAGGCAGCAAUGCCGAGCGAAUCACGAAGACCGGUCUCAGUGCAGAUUGGGGGCUGCAACUCGCCCCCAUGAAGGCGGAGUUGCUAGUAACCGCGUGUCAGCAAAGCGCGGUGAAUACGUACCCGGGCCUUGUACACACCGCCCGU